rnacentral:rRNA from 1 species
GACGAACGCUGGCGGCGUGCUUAACACAUGCAAGUCGUACGGUAAGGCCCUUUCGGGGGUACACGAGUGGCGAACGGGUGAGUAACACGUGAGUAACCUGCCCACAACUUUGGGAUAACGCUAGGAAACUGGUGCUAAUACUGGAUAUGUGCCCCUGCUGCAUGGUGGGGGUUGGAAAGCUCCGGCGGUUGUGGAUGGACUCGCGGCCUAUCAGCUUGUUGGUGGGGUAGUGGCCUACCAAGGCGGCGACGGGUAGCCGGCCUGAGAGGGUGACCGGCCACAGUGGGACUGAGAUACGGCCCAGACUCCGACGGGAGGCAGCAGUGGGGAAUAUUGCACAAUGGGCGCAAGCCUGAUGCAGCAACGCCGCGGGCGGGAUGACGGCCUUCGGGUUGUAAACCGCUUUCAGCAGGGACGAAGCUUUUUGUGACGGUACCUGCAGAAGAAGCACCGGCUAACUACGUG